AUUCCCUCGCCGCCGCCGCCGCCGCCGCCGCCGCCAAAUCUCCCUGGCCUCUCCGCCGCGCUGCCAUGCUCCUCCGGCUCCGGUGCUCCAUCCUCACCCACCUCAUCUCGUCUCCAUCCGCCUCUCCCGCCUCCCACUUCAGCCGUCUCAUCUCCGCCGCCGCGCCCGCCGUCUCCCCGAACCCUAGCUUCGCGGUGGAGGAGUACCUCGUCGCCACCUGUGGCCUCACCCGACCCCAGGCCCUCAAGGCCUCCGCCAAGCUCUCCCACCUCAAGUCCCCCUCCAAUCCCGACGCCGUCCUCGCCUUCCUCGCAGGCCUCGGCCUCUCCGGCGCCGACGUCGCCGCCCUCGUCGCCAAGGACCCGCUGUUCCUCUGCGCCAAAGUGGACAAGACACUGGGCCCCGUCGUCGUCGGGCUCACCGGCCUCGGCAUCUCGCGUUCUCAGAUCGGGCGCCUCGCCUCGCUCAGCCGCGCCCAGUUCCGCUGUAUAUCCAUCGUCUCAAAUCUGCAAUACUUCCUGCACCUCUUCGGCUCCUUUGAGAAGAUCCUCCCUGCAAUCAGGUACGGCUUAUGCCUUCUCGCAGCCGACCUCGAGACAGUGGUCAAGCCCAAUGUUGCCUUCCUGCGUUCCUGCGGGCUAGGUGACUGUGACAUUGCCAAGUUGUGCAUCGCUGAGCCAUGGCUGCUCGCCUCAAACGUAGAGUGCGUCCGGGCAAUGGCAGCACGCGCCGAAGCUAUUGGUGUGCCCUGUGGCUCUCGGAUGUUCAGGCACGCGCUGAAGGCUGUUGCAUUCCUCAGCAAUGAGAAGAUCGCCGCCAAAGUGGAGCACUUGAAGAAGAUGUUCAGGUGGUCAGAUGCCGAGGUGCGCAUUGCUUUGUCCACGCUUCCAUCUGUGCUGAUGAGGUCUAACCAUAUGCUGGAGAGCAAGUCAGAGUUCCUAAUCUCCAAGGUGGGGUUUGAACCAGCAUACAUUGCUCAUCAUCCGGCAUUGCUCACAUACAGCCUGGAGGGCCGGAUCAUACCCCGGUACUAUGUUGUAAAGUUUCUCAAGGAAAAUGGACUGCUGGAUCACAACCGGAGCUACUAUUCUGCAGUCAUUGUGAUGGAGAAAGUAUUCGUGGACAAGUACAUAUCCCCUCACAAGGAAGUUGCACCAUACCUUGCUGAAGACUAUGAUGCCGCUUGCAGAGGGGAAGUGCCGACUAGAUUCAAAUUUACAUGAAAAUUGGUAACACUACGGCACAACGAUAUUUUUUACAUUCCGUGUUAUGCUAUUCAUUCCUGAUUUGGUGUUCUUGGCCUAACUGAAUUGUAGCUGUCUGCUAUUGAUAAUCGUUCGUUACAUGCUGAUUUGAUUGUGCUAGUCUAGGAUGAAAUUGGCAAUUUGAUUUGAGAGUAUUGGUAUGCUCAUUAUGACAUUCAAUUAGAGAAGAAAGCACCGUACUACUAGCUUGUGCACUCUAAGGUUGCAUUGACAUACAUAUUGGAUUUACGGGAAUCUUUGUGAAAACCAUGGAGCGGCUGCUCCAGCCAUGGAUACCCUUCAUUUCCACCUCGAGAUAGGAGCCAUGUCAGAAAAAGCAAUGCAAAGUACUAAGCACUCUCUGACACAUAUCCCCACAACAUUACGUUUGAAAUGGAUGGUGUCCAAGAGUGGAGCAGUGGUUUCAUGUAGCUAAAAAAGUCUCUCUAAAACUAAUGGAAUUAAAGAGAGCGAGAGCAGGACAUUCUGCAAAUACUUUGAAGUAUCUUUAUGUUCUCAAAUGACCAUAGCAUUUUCAGGUGCACCUCAAUCUAUCUUUUCAUGAAAGAAGGUUCUCAUUUUGGCCAAAGAUGACAUGGACUUUUAAAUUUUCUCCGGAUGAAAGUAUGUUUGUCACUCCCAAGGAUUCAGUUUGGAUCUAGUAUGUUGGUUGCUUGCUCUAGUUCUUCUAAGAUGAAAAUCUGCGUUCAUCCAGCAGUAGGUUUGCUUAUAAAACUGUUGUGAAAGCAAGUCAUUGUGUACUACUCACUAGUUUGUAUCAGUUUUUCCCCUUAUAUUCUUUGAUUGAUGGCCUACUGGUUUGAUAUAUUUUUCAUAUGGCUUCUGAUGUCAGAACUGAAUAGUGCAUUAGUUGGCUAGUAGCAUUUUUGUUAUCGACUUAUCCAUGUAGAACUAUGUAACGGGCAUUUUGGAGGCCCUGGUAUUUGUACUGCAGAGGCAAAGCAGGGGACAUUUCAUAUAACAGAACUUUUGUCAAGUUAAUCUUAAAACCAAAGAUGUGCUGAAACUGGAUGCAGAUGCAUGGUGUUCCCUUCUUGUUCUUCCAGGAGAUCGACGAAGCAGGGCGCUCGGACUCUGCUAUCAUAUAUGUGAUUCUGAAGGUAUUUGUGGACUUGACGCCUUGCGUGAAGAAGCUCCUAAUUUUGUCCUUUUGGAUUUUGCAAUUUUAGUAAACCUUCUUUCUAGAAAUUCUGAAUCAGAAUCAGAUCUGAUUAGUUAACUCUGAAUCUUUCGGCCACCAAGUGAAGAUGUCUGUAGUAACUGCUUAAAUGUUAUAGCCAUGUUUGUUUUACUCGAAUCAGAGCUGCAAAAUAAACACGAAUCUUACAACAAAGUUGGUCAUUAAUGCUAAUACGGCAAGAACGUGUUGUUUUGUAUUCAGCAAAUGCUUCAAGUAUCAUUGAUGAGUACAUUUGCACACUAUGUUCCCGAUGUCCGUUGCAGUUUGCACUGCAAUCCUCAAUCUUUUUUUCAGUGAAUAAAUGUCAUUAUUUAUGCCCAGCAAAUGGCUAGAGUAUGUACUCUCGGUUUAGUGUGGUAUCCAUUGUACCUAGAUUGAUCUCAGGUGUUAUACUAACAUUUGUAGUCUAUACUAUAUCAAACCAGAGUUACUUUAGGCAUUAACAAACGCAAACUGGCUUCCACUAUAUGGAAUUUGUUUUUUAGUGUUGAAGAAAUAUAUCUUGAGAGUUCAGAACUAUGCCAAGCUUCUACUACUGACCGUUAUGAAAGAAAAUAUUAAUGCCGGAUAUUGAAAUAACAUUUAUGGUGCUUUUUUGGGGUGGGGGAUCGGUGCUCCAUGCAAAUUUGCAUGCAUGUAGAACACAGGAAUAUGUAUGUUAUUACAAAUAUUUGUAUAAUAUUAUUGUUUUUUACUUUAUUAUUCAUAGGGUGCACCAGAGCUCGGUAGAAACACCUUCCUACUUGUUAUUUCGGUGUGUUGAUGCUGAACUUAUUAUUUAAAAAAAGCUAUGGAAAAUGAUAUAACAUUUACUUUUGCACCCUCCAUUAGUCUCCCGUCUCUCGGUAUUUCCCCUUAAAUCCACAAAACAUUUAGUGUUCAAUUGU